rnacentral:tRNA from 1 species
GGGGCUGUAGCUCAGUGGUAGAGCACUUGCCUACCAUGUAUGAGGCACUGCGUUCAAUUCUCAAAAUAAAGGUCCA